rnacentral:ncRNA from 1 species
UUAAAGUUUGAUUCUUGCUUUAAAUUUGAAUUUAUCAUUAUUUUACAUGUAAAAUUUUUUGGGGUUUAUAUUGUUCUAAAAGAAUAUAACAUAAUUCGCAGUAAUUAAUUCUAUUAAUUUAUUUUAGUAUGAUUUUGUUAAUUGAUAAUUUUUAUGAUUAAUUUUGUGCCAGCAAUCGCGGUUAUACAUUUAUUAAUAUUCAAAUAUAUUAUCUUUCAAAAAUUGUUUUUAUAGAAAUUAAAAAAUAAAUUAAUUAAGUGAAAUUUUUAUUUAUUUUUAUUUCUUUUUUAUUUUGAGAAAUUCUUAAUUAAACUAGGAUUAGAUACCCUAUUAUUUUGAAAUAUAAAUAUUUUAGGUUGAUUAUUAUUAGCUAUGAUCUUGAAAUUCAAAGAAUUUGGCGGUAAUUAAUUCUUUUUAGAGGAACCUGUUCUAUAAUUGAUAAUCCACGAUUGAUUUUACUUUAAUGUUACUUGUAUAUCUCUGUCAUUGAAUGUAUCAUUAGAUUAUUUUCUUUUUUCUGUUUGAGAAAAAUGUUAGGUCAAGGUGCAGUUUGUAUUAAAGUAGAAAUGGGUUACAAUAAUUUUUGAAUUUGUUAUAGUUUGUAAUUAACUAUUAGAUUUUGGAUUUAACAGUAAUUUUAACUAGUAAAGUUAUUUUGAUUUUAGCUCUUAAUUAUGCACACAUCGCCCGUCACUCCCAAUAACUUGGGAUAAGUCGUAACAAAGUAGUUUUACCGGAGGUGAAGCUGAAAGUU